rnacentral:misc_RNA from 1 species
AACCUAGCACACCUGCGGUGUGUACCUGCGGAAGGAUCAUUACUGAGUUAGGGUCUUUUGGCCCGACCUCCAACCCUUUGUUUAUUAUACCAUGUUGCUUUGGUGGGCCUGCCUUUCGGGGCUGCCGGGGGCAUUGUCGCCCCUGACUCGUGCCCGCCAGGAGCCUUCUUAAAUUCAGUCUUCAAUGGUGCUGUCUGAGUCCCAGUAUCAAAAUAUCAAAAACUUUUAACAAUGGAUCUC